UCUGAACCCAACCUCCUUGCCAAAGAGGAGCUGAACCUGCUGGCUCGACUGAUGGGUGGAAUAGAGGUUCAGAACCCAAACACUGAUACUGAAACAGGGUUCCGGGUCAACCUCUUUGCCACAGACCAAGAAGAAGAAGAGGUGUGGAGCCUCAGGAGGGAAUGGAGAUCAGUCAUUUGAAGUGAAUCAUAUUCAAGCAAUACAGGGCGUGAAGGUCAACACAGAACUGACUCGGAUCGCUGGAGAGUUUACCAAGGAGCCUGAACAGACUGAAACACUGACUCGGAUCGCUGGAGAGUUUACCAAGGAGCCUGAACAGACUGAAACACUGACUCGGAUCGCUGGAGAGUUUACCAAGGAGCCUGAACAGACUGAAACACUGACUCGGAUCGCUGGAGAGUUUACCAAGGAGCCUGAACAGACUGAAACACUGACUCGGAUCGCUGGAGAGUUUACCAAGGAGCCUGAACAGACUGAAACACUGACUCGGAUCGCU